GGCUCAGGACGAACGCUGGCGGCGUGCUUAACACAUGCAAGUCGAACGAUGAAGCAUUUGGGGGUGGAUUAGUGGCGAACGGGUGAGUAACACGUGGGCAAUCUGCCCUUCACUCUGGGACAAGCCCUGGAAACGGGGUCUAAUACCGGAUAACACUCUGUCCCGCAUGGGACGGGGUUAAAAGCUCCGGCGGUGAAGGAUGAGCCCGCGGCCUAUCAGCUUGUUGGUGGGGUAAUGGCCUACCAAGGCGACGACGGGUAGCCGGCCUGAGAGGGCGACCGGCCACACUGGGAUUGAGACACGGCCCAGACUCCUACGGGAGGCAGCAGUGGGGAAUAUUGCACAAUGGGCGAAAGCCUGAUGCAGCGACGCCGCGUGAGGGAUGACGGCCUUCGGGUUGUAAACCUCUUUCAGCAGGGAAGAAGCGAAAGUGACGGUACCUGCAGAAGAAGCGCCGGCUAACUACGUGCCAGCAGCCGCGGUAAUACGUAGGGCGCAAGCGUUGUCCGGAAUUAUUGGGCGUAAAGAGCUCGUAGGCGGCUUGUCACGUCGGAUGUGAAAGCCCGGGGCUUAACCCCGGGUCUGCAUUCGAUACGGGCUAGCUAGAGUGUGGUAGGGGAGAUCGGAAUUCCUGGUGUAGCGGUGAAAUGCGCAGAUAUCAGGAGGAACACCGGUGGCGAAGGCGGAUCUCUGGGCCAUUACUGACGCUGAGGAGCGAA
rnacentral:rRNA from 1 species